ACUUGAGUAGUUUAAUAAUAAAAUAUUGAUUUGUGGUGUCAUAGAUGUAGGAAUACCUUAAGUA
rnacentral:tRNA from 1 species